rnacentral:rRNA from 2 species
GACAGAGGGUGCAAACGUUGUUCGGAAUUACUGGGCGUAAAGCGCGUGUAGGCGGCUAUGCAAGUCGGGUGUGAAAUCCCACGGCUCAACCGUGGAAGUGCACUCGAAACUACGUAGCUGGAGUUCUGGAGAGGAAGGUGGAAUGCUCGGUGUAGAGGUGAAAUUCGUAGAUAUCGAGUGGAACACCGGUGGCGAAGGCGGCCUUCUGGACAGAAACUGACGCUGAGACGCGAAAGCGUGGGGAGCAAACAGG